rnacentral:rRNA from 1 species
AGUGAACGCUGGCGGUAGGCCUAACACAUGCAAGUCGAACGGCAGCACAGAGGAGCUUGCUCCUUGGGUGGCGAGUGGCGGACGGGUGAGGAAUACAUCGGAAUCUACUCUGUCGUGGGGGAUAACGUAGGGAAACUUACGCUAAUACCGCAUACGACCUACGGGUGAAAGCAGGGGAUCUUCGGACCUUGCGCGAUUGAAUGAGCCGAUGUCGGAUUAGCUAGUUGGCGGGGUAAAGGCCCACCAAGGCGACGAUCCGUAGCUGGUCUGAGAGGAUGAUCAGCCACACUGGAACUGGGACACGGUCCAGACUCCUACGGGAGGCAGCAGUGGGGAAUAUUGGACAACGGGCGCAAGCCUGAUCCAGCCAUACCGCGUGGGUGAAGAAGGCCUUCGGGUUGUAAAGCCCUUUUGUUGGGAAAGAAAUCCAGCUGGCUAAUACCCGGUUGGGAUGACGGUACCCAAAGAAUAAGCACCGGCUAACUUCGUGCCAGCCGCCGCAGUAA